AGGAAGGGCCCGCUGCUCCCGGGCCACCCCGGGACACAUGAGUUAGGGGCAAAAUUUAAUGCCGCAACAAAGCGACUCAUUUUUUUUGGUAACUGAGGCUGUUCCAGAACUUCUUACUCACUCUCGGCGCCGCCCCCGCGCUUCCAGGCCCCGGACCCGCCGCAAACACCGCUGGGCUUGGACUCAAACCGCGGUCCGGUCCCACCCGGUCUGGUCCAGUCCCGUUGGAGGCGGCGGUUGGGUUCAGCGUCAGGCGCGCGCCCUCUGCUGGCCGUUGGGAAGCGGCGAGGGAAGCGCUGAGCUCGCGGCCGAGCGGUGGUCGCUCGCCCCCUCGCGGGCUCUCCCGGAAUCGCUGACAUUCUCCGUCGCUUGCUCUCUGCUCCUGGCUGGGGAUGCUCCAUUUACAUGGAUUGGAAUAGACCUAAGCACCACAAUUACAAAAUCAGUUAUACGUUAAACAAAGCCUCAAAACACCAGGUAACCCAUGUUCUAAAUCACUGUUUGGGAGACAGCCAAACAGCCAUGGCUCCAAGGCGUAUCCCAGGAAAGGGAGCAGGCAAGGCUGGAGCAGAGCGUCCCCAGCCAGGAGCAGAGAGCAAGCGACGGAGAAUGUCAGCGAUUCCGGGAGAGCCCGCGAGGGGGCGAGCGACCACCGCUCGGCCGCGAGCUCAGCGCUUCCCUCGCCGCUUCCCAACGGCCAGCAGAGGGCGCGCGCCUGACGCUGAACCCAACCGCCGCCUCCAACGGGACUGGACCAGACCGGGUGGGACCGGACCGCGGUUUGAGUCCAAGCCCAGCGGUGUUUGCGGCGGGUCCGGGGCCUGGAAGCGCGGGGGCGGCGCCGAGAACGAAACUGGAAAAUGGCCUUCAUUGGAAAAGCCCCAGUCCUCGGGGAGCAGAUCCCCCAUCUCUGGCAGUGCAGUGCGCCUGGGAGCUGUCUGGAACAUUCCGCAAGUGCCGUGUUUGCCUGAAAGGACAUUGGCAGCCAGCAGGGGCGGCGGCUGGUCCUCUAGAUGGGCACGAAUGCCACUGGCAGGCAAUGGGGCAGACUCCAUGGAAAGAUGCUUCCCUUCCUCAAGGUCAACACCAUGCUGCACAGGGGACCUAGAAUUCUAUGAGGCAAGCAAGGAAGAGGGAUACCUAGAAUAACAGAAGAGAUUAAUCACCCUUUUCAAAGAGAAAGUUGGUCUGGUACCACCUUAGAGACUUUCUGGUGUGCUCUCUGUGCUGGAAUAUCAGGAGCCCAG
rnacentral:lncRNA from 1 species